rnacentral:lncRNA from 1 species
GCAUCUAUAACAUUGAUUCAGGCUAUGUGGAGUAACUUGUCCCUCACUUCCACCUUUUCUCACCCUCCAGACCUCAAGAGAUCAAACCAGUUCUCAUUGACAAAACAGACAGACGUGCUCCAAAGCAGAACCAGCAAGACAUCUGCAUCGCAGAAGACCUGAGAACACAUUCCUCUGAAAUUACAGAGCUGUCGGCUGCUUGCCCCCAAGUGUUUGAAGCCACCCACACACACUCUGAAGCACAGUCCCCAGCCGCUGACGACUCAACACUGUCAAAUGACAGUCACAACGCCUUCAUCAUUAGUUUGUGAAACGCACUAUACAAAUGGGGCUUCAGGGUGUAAGAAGAAGAGGAAAAUGUAUUUCACGACAGCAAUAUCUUAACUCUGAGAAACAGGAGAUAAAUUGGGCCAGGUGAUUAUUUUAAAAGAACCAGUAGCUAAGAGUGAGAACUAAAAGCAAAUCUCUAUCAGAGAAUUUGAAAAACCCAAAUAAGCCAUGUCAAGCCUUCUUGCAUGAAGACCUCCUAGUGCUUCAGGGAGAAACGUUUAAAGAAGGUUCUAGGAAGAUGCCGAGAGAUGGGGCACCAGGAUCACAGGUGAACAUCUUCACCCAGGGCUCAGCAAACUGACCUACAGGCCAAACCUGGCCCACCACCUAUUCUUGUUAAUAAAGUUUUAUUGGAACGCUGUCAUCUCCAUUUAUUUACAUAUUGUCUGUGGCUGCCCUUGUUCGUGAGAGUGGGGUAGAGUAGUUAUGGCACAGACUGUGUGGCACAUAGAG